rnacentral:misc_RNA from 1 species
UCGGGUGUCCAGGCGCCGGAUCUGAGCGACGUCUCAGCCGGUUAGCUCAUGGGUGGAACAUUGACAUUGGUGCGGAGCCGAACGGCUCGAACUCAGUACGCCUCCUCGGAGGAAGGAACGGUUCGGAUCACUAGGCGCCGCACAUGCACGCUGUUGGGUCCUGAGGGACCGGGCCUCAUCGGAUGAUGAGAACUGGACCUCUGGACCUUUUCUUGUCGGCAUCACUUGCCGAGCGGAGAAGGUACCGCCCGUACUUUGAGAACUACACAGUGGACGCGAGCAUCUUAGAUUCGAACCUUCGGGUUCGGAUCACAAAAGAUGAUCUGAUUUAUUAGAUCAUUGGUCAAUCUGUGUCGAACCUGCUUCGGUAGGUACGACGCCGAUCGAUUCAAACUCAUGUGAU